GGGCCCGUAGCUCAGCGGUGAGAGCGGUCGGCUCAUAACCGAUUGGUCCUGGGUUCGAAUCCCGGCGGGCCCACCA
rnacentral:tRNA from 1 species